rnacentral:rRNA from 1 species
UGGGGAAUAUUGCACAAUGGGCGAAAGCCUGAUGCAGCGACGCCGCGUGAGGGAUGACGGCCUUCGGGUUGUAAACCUCUUUCAGUAGGGACGAAGCGCAAGUGACGGUACCUGCAGAAGAAGCACCGGCUAACUACGUGCCAGCAGCCGCGGUAAUACGUAGGGUGCGAGCGUUGUCCGGAAUUACUGGGCGUAAAGAGCUCGUAGGCGGUUUGUCACGUCGUCUGUGAAAUCCUAGGGCUUAACCCUGGACGUGCAGGCGAUACGGGCUGACUUGAGUACUACAGGGGAGACUGGAAUUUCUGGUGUAGCGGAGGAAUGCACAGAUAUCAGGAAGAACACCGAUGGCGAAGGCAGGUCUCUGGGUAGUAACUGACGCUGAGGAGCGAAAGCAUGGGUAGCGAACAGG